AAAUUUAAUUUUAGUUUUUUAUUUCGAAUUCCCAAAUACUAAAAUCUAACUAAAAAGUAUUUAAAUUAUAGCACCAAGAUAUAAUAAUAAUAAUAAUAAAAAUAAAAAAUAUUAACAUAAAGAUAUUUAAUAGAAAAAAAGUUAUUACAUUUUUCAAGUAAACCUGUUACACUCUGUAUAUAAAUUAUACACGUUAAUCCGGUCCCACACGACUCGUAAAUUGGCCGAUCAUUAUCCGAACAUUGUGUAUACUUUAUUUGUACUUUACACUUGAUUUUCUCCAAUACUUAAAACAUGUCAAAACAGUUAGUGGUGAGAAUGGACGGGUCAUGUGGGAAAGCAAGAUUAAAUUUCUUAUCGGCAUGAGUCCCUCAUGUCGGACCGACAACGACGGGAAACCGCGAGUGACUCAGCGAGCACAAAAAUAAUCGCCGAACUUAACGAUUAAACACCUCCUACAGGACUCGCAAAGAAUUGUCGCGANUUUUCGAUUAUUAUUAGCCGAGUACACGAGUCGUUAUAGUGGUACUCGUUUUGCCGAAUUAGAAAU